CUUCCAUACCUAUACUCUAUUCUCUGGAACCUUCAACCCAUCAUAUUCUUGAUAGAUAACAUUCCGAUCAGAGUAUUCAACAACAACGAAGCUAUUGGCGUGCCAUUUC